GACGAACCGAGCGAACGUUAUUCGGAAUCACUGGGCUUAAAGGGCGCGUAGGCGGGCGGCCAAGUCAGGGGUGAAAGCCCCCAGCUCAACUGGGGAAGUGCCUCUGAUACUGGUCAUCUCGAGGGAGAUAGGGGCGUGCGGAACUUCCGGUGGAGCGGUGAAAUGCGUAGAUAUCGGAAGGAACACCGGUGGCGAAAGCGGCGCGCUGGAUCUCUUCUGACGCUGAGGAGCGAAAGCCAGGGGAGCAAACGGG
rnacentral:rRNA from 1 species